UACGAAGGGGGGCUAGCGUUGCUCGGAUUGACUGGGCGUAAAGGGCGCGUAGGCGGUUCGUACAGUCAGACGUGAAAUUCCUGGGCUCAACCUGGGGGCUGCGUUUGAUACGUGCGGACUUGAGUGCGGAAGAGGGUCGUGGAAUUCCCAGUGUAGAGGUGAAAUUCGUAGAUAUUGGGAAGAACACCGGUGGCGAAGGCGGCGACCUGGUCCGAUACUGACGCUGAGGCGCGAAAGCUAGGGGAGCAAACAGG
rnacentral:rRNA from 1 species